rnacentral:rRNA from 1 species
CUUGCUUCUUUGCUGACGAGUGGCGGACGGGUGAGUAAUGUCUGGGAAACUGCCUGAUGGAGGGGGAUAACUACUGGAAACGGUAGCUAAUACCGCAUAACGUCGCAAGACCAAAGAGGGGGACCUUCGGGCCUCUUGCCAUCGGAUGUGCCCAGAUGGGAUUAGCUAGUAGGUGGGGUAACGGCUCACCUAGGCGACGAUCCCUAGCUGGUCUGAGAGGAUGACCAGCCACACUGGAACUGAGACACGGUCCAGACUCCUACGGGAGGCAGCAGUGGGGAAUAUUGCACAAUGGGCGCAAGCCUGAUGCAGCCAUGCCGCGUGUAUGAAGAAGGCCUUCGGGUUGUAAAGUACUUUCAGCGGGGAGGAAGGGAGUAAAGUUAAUACCUUUGCUCAUUGACGUUACCCGCAGAAGAAGCACCGGCUAACUCCGUGCCAGCAGCCGCGGUAAUACGGAGGGUGCAAGCGUUAAUCGGAAUUACUGGGCGUAAAGCGCACGCAGGCGGUUUGUUAAGUCAGAUGUGAAAUCCCCGGGCUCAACCUGGGAACUGCAUCUGAUACUGGCAAGCUUGAGUCUCGUAGAGGGGGGUAGAAUUCC